rnacentral:rRNA from 1 species
GACGAACGCUGGCGGCGUGCCUAACACAUGCAAGUGGAGCGACGAACCGGGCUUCGGCCCGGGGCAGAGCCGCGAACGGGUGAGUAACACGUGGGUAACGUACCCCGAUGAUUGGGACAACCCGAGGAAACUCGGGCUAAUACCAAAUGUGCCCUCUAGCCAUAAGGCUUUUGGGGAAAGGAAGCUUCGGCCUCCGCAUCGGGAUCGGCCCGCGGCGCAUUAGCUUGUUGGUGAGGUAACGGCUCACCAAGGCUACGAUGCGUAGCUGGUCUGAGAG